AUCCAAUUAAAAAAUGGGCUCAUGCAAUGGCUGCAAACAGCAGCAUCCUUGGUAGUGUACGCAACCUGUUGCUAGUAUGGGUUGCCUUAAGGGACCUUGGAUACAGCC